GUAGUCACGAGUUUGAUCCUGGCUCAGAACGAACGCUGGCGGCGCGCCUAACACAUGCAAGUCGAACGAGAAUCCGGGGCAACCCGGUAGUAAAGUGGCAAACGGGUGAGGAAUACAUGGGUAACCUACCCUUGAGAAGGGAAUAACCCGCCGAAAGGUGAGCUAAUACCCUAUACGCUAUCUUUUUUUCGAAAAGGAUAGGAAAGCCGGGUCGAGGACCUGGUACUCAAGGAGGGGCUCAUGUCCUAUCAGCUUGUUGGUGGGGUAACGGCCUACCAAGGCUACGACGGGUAGCUGGUCUGAGAGGAUGAUCAGCCACACUGGCACUGAGAUACGGGCCAGACUCCUACGGGAGGCAGCAGUGAGGAAUAUUGCGCAAUGGGCGAAAGCCCGACGCAGCGACGCCGCGUGGGGGAUGAAGGUUUUCGGAUUGUAAACCCCUUUCAUGAGGAAAGAUAAAGUGGGUAACCACUUAGACGGUACCUCAAGAAGAAGCCACGGCUAACUUCGUG
rnacentral:rRNA from 1 species